CCCCGCCCCCCCUAGAUCUCCAUUUUACCCACUGUAAUGCUUUUUUUUUUUUUUUUUAACCCUCAAUUAAACACCAGCUGAUGUUUACAUGUGUCUACAGUUGCAGAAUUAAUCACCAAUUGGAAUAAGCCACUCUUGUUCCAUCAACACCUUUUCUAUUUUCAUAAAGAGAAAUAUAUAGUUUAUUAUUACCAGUAUGGACAUUUCAGAAAAAAAGACUCAGCCGUUACUUAACUUCAAAUAAUGCCUGGAAAUGCACUUGUUAAAUAGAAUAAUAGGAGAGAAUCCUUCAUAUGCAGGAUUUUCAAGAGGAUAAGCAUUCGAUUCUAAUGACAUAGAUUACACAGUCUAUUCCUUCAAGGCUAGAAAAUGCCCUUUCUAUUGGUAAAAUUAGUGUGCAAUAACUAUCCUCAUCACCA